rnacentral:tRNA from 1 species
CGGGAUGUAGCUCAGUCUGGUCAGAGCGCGCGCCUCGGGCGCGCGAGGUCGCUGGUUCGAAUCCAGCCGUCCCGA